UGGGGUAUAGCCAAGCGGUAAGGCAGCGGGUUUUGAUCCCGCCAUGCUCAGGUUCGAAUCCUGAUACCCCAGCCA
rnacentral:tRNA from 3 species